UCAACCUCCUCUCUGUUCUCCGAAUACUCUCUUUUUUCCUCCGCUGCUGCAGCUACAUCGCCUGCGAUUGGAGGCAUCGCCCUCUCCACCUCCUCUCCUUUCUCCGUCUCCCUCACCCCAGGACUCUCGAUUGAAUAUUUUGGUCUUUUUCAUCUUUGUGAUCAUUUUCAGGAGGAGUUUGUGUGAUUCCAGUCUCGAUCCAAGACCAAAGGGUAUUGGUGUCUUGGUUUGAGAACCUUAGUUCUGAGGGGCUUAGGGCAUCAGUUUACCUUGGCGACGGCAAGAUGUUCUGGAGCAUGACUGGAUUGUUUAUGACCUUCCCUGCCUUUUGUUGAUUGUGGUUGAUCAAGAAGAUGCAGGCGCUACAAGGAAAGAUAAUGGGAAGUAGCUGUAAUUAGAAAAGCAUAUAUUUUUAAGUUGUUGGACUCUGUUUCCUCAAAAAACUAAACGAUGGAAAUUUUAUUUGAAAGUGAUUUGGGAGCUAAUUCAAUGGUGCUGUUGUAGUUGAAUGAGAUAUACCUAUAUUGCUUAUUUGAAUGAUGUAAAUUAUUUCACUUAUGGAAAAAGUUAUCUUUUUUUGGCUGGUUUUGAAUGAGGGUUUCUGCGGGUUGUGAUUGCUGAAAACAAGGAAUUAAGACUGCAAGGAAGGAUGAUGGAACUUAGAUGUAAUUGAAAGAACAUGUCAUUUUAUUAUGAAGUAAUGGGACUCCAUUUUCUCCAAAUUUUUGUUGAAAAUUUAUUUGGAAUUGUAAAGAUGCUGCUUUGUUUGCAUUGUAGAGGU